AAUUUCAGUUCGCCAACCAACCGUUUUGUCGACACAUGAAUCGGUUGCACAAUUAUUUUAAAUCGGUUGUUUUAUUAUAGUUUUUGUCUCCCCAAUUUUCCACCCACAAUAGUGGCACACCCAUCCCAAGUAUGAGUUUUUUUUUUUUUUUUUUAGUUUAUUAUUCAUAACGUAAUCAUUUCAAGUUUAGAGACGACGAAAUUACGACUACAAAAUAUAUAGAC